CAGAGCUGUUGUUUGGGCAAGGGUGAUCUCUCUGGCCACAAAUCAGUGGUGGGGUGGGUAAGGGGCCAUGCUCAUGCCCUCUAGUGUGAGCCCAGCCCAAGGUCCAGGCCAGGUCGGUGCUGAGCAGAGGUCAGCACAUUUCUUCAUUUCCUUCACUAUAGCCCUGCAAGGCCAGCAUUGUUGUCCCCAAUCUGCAGAUGGUGAAGUCGAGGCUUGGAGAGGUCAGGCAUGGGCUGGCUAAAGUCACGCAACUGGUCAGUUGCCCAGCUGAGUCUGACUCCGGGUUUCCUGGUACCCAGCAUGCCCACUCCACAGUCCACUCUCAGCCUGCACUUUCUCCCCGCCCUCCUGUUCUUUCCCUGUUUCUCUCACUUACCCUACUACCAGCCCCAGUUUCCUCCUCCCAGAGAGUACAGAAGGAAAUCCCUCCUCUCUGAGCAGGCUGCAGAGCGCAGAACUCUCCCAUCACCACGCAGAGGCUUUCCUACACCACCCGGCAGCCUGCAGAUUGGUCUCCAUCCAAGUGCCAAAGGAGAACCCACAGUGCAAUCCAGGAAGACCAUGACCAAUCGUCUGUGCUCCUCUCUCUGUGCCUAACAUUGUCAUCUCCCAUAUGCACCACCAGCCCACCUUUUGAGAAAGAAUUCAAACUUCACUUCCUGGCCAGGCUGGUCUCGAACUCCUGACCUGAAACCACACUUCCUUCAUAAGGCUUGCUGUGACCCCACCACACCCACCAGGCCAGACCACCAUCACCUCUCACUGGACCCUGCUCCGGCCACCUCCCUGAUCUUUCUGCCUCUGGGCUCGCUCCAUGCAGCCCCUUCUCCACACAGCAGCAGCCAGGGGCAGUUUCUGGAGCCCACAGCUGAAUGCGUUGUUCUCCUUGCUCAGGCAGAGAAGAGGACAGAUGGGGCUUUGGUCUCCUGUGUGUAGCCAGAGGGACUGCCUUGCCCGUUACCAUCUCCAGUAGUUCCUGACACCACAGCUGCUGAUGGCAAAUGCCCCCAGCCCCAGCCAUGCCCCAGCCCCCUGCAUUGAGAGACCCAGCUCACCCAGAGGGCAGCUACAGCCUCCUUCAUCCACAGCCGCUGCUGUGACUCAGAGGGACCUUGUCCUGGAAGGCCAGUGGAGCCCUCCUGAGGCCUUCACAGGCCCAGUGUCCAUCCUGGUCAUGACAAGUGUAAUAACACAGCUCUUGCAUUAAAUACUAUUUAUUGCAGCAGCAGUUUUUCUUAAGUUUGUUGUAAUUUUGAAUUUUGU